rnacentral:sRNA from 1 species
UCAUAAGAUGUAAAUUGAGGUCCAUUAU